rnacentral:rRNA from 1 species
GAUGAACGCUAGCGGCAGGCCUAAUACAUGCAAGUCGGACGGGAUCCAUCGGAGAGCUUGCUCGAAGAUGGUGAGAGUGGCGCACGGGUGCGUAACGCGUGAGCAACCUACCUCUAUCAGGGGGAUAGCCUCUCGAAAGAGAGAUUAACACCGCAUAAUAUAAUCUUCCGGCAUCGUUAGAUUAUUAAAUAUUUAUAGGAUAGAGAUGGGCUCGCGUGACAUUAGCUGGUUGGUAAGGUAACGGCUUACCAAGGCGACGAUGUCUAGGGGCUCUGAGAGGGGAAUCCCGCAAACUGGUACUGAGAAACGGACCAGACUCCUACGGGAGGCAGCAGUAAGGAAUAUUGGUCAAUGGGCGGAAGCCUGAACCAGCCAUGCCGCGUGCAGGACGACUGCCCUAUGGGUUGUAAACUGCUUUUGUCCAGGAAUAAACCUAAAUACGUGUAUUUAGCUGAAUGUACUGGAAGAAUAAGGAUCGGCUAACUCCGUGCCAGCCGCCGCCGUAAGAC